rnacentral:lncRNA from 1 species
UUAAUUUUUAUAUUUAAUUUUUAUAUUUUUAAAAUUUUAAAUUAGAUUAAAAAUUAAAAUAUUAAAAAAAUUAUUUAAAAUAUGUUAAAAAUUAUGUAAAUUUUCCGCGGCGAAGCGCGGGCCUCCACUAGUACAUCUAAUUAGUCUAUAUCAACCUAUCCAACUAUAACUAUCAAAUAAUAACAUAUGAUAAAUCUAUUUUUAUUUUGGAUAAGUACAAAUUAUAAUCAUAAUCAAAUAAAAAAUUUAAAACUAUUUCUAAUUAUAUUUUAAUUAUGUUUGAAUUAUUAUU